GACGAACGCUGGCGGCGUGCUUAACACAUGCAAGUCGAACGUGAUUUUUGUGGAAAUUCUUUCGGGAAUGGAAAUGAAAUGAAAGUGGCGAACGGGUGAGUAACACGUGAGCAACCUACCUUACGCAGGGGGAUAGCCGUUGGAAACGACGAUUAAUACCGCAUGAGACCACAGAAUCGCAUGAUAUAGGGGUCAAAGAUUUAUCGGUGUAAGAAGGGCUCGCGUCUGAUUAGCUAGUUGGAAGGGUAAAGGCCUACCAAGGCGACGAUCAGUAGCCGGUCUGAGAGGAUGAACGGCCACAUUGGAACUGAGACACGGUCCAAACUCCUACGGGAGGCAGCAGUGGGGAAUAUUGCACAAUGGGGGGAACCCUGAUGCAGCGACGCCGCGUGAGCGAAGAAGGUUUUCGAAUCGUAAAGCUCUGUCCUAUGAGAAGAUAAUGACGGUAUCAUAGGAGGAAGCCCCGGCUAAAUACGUG
rnacentral:rRNA from 1 species